CAACGUCAAAUGAUUCAAAGGAAAGUGUGAAUAAUUUAAGUGGAGGACGCUGUAAAACACAUCAUAUGAAACUGAAAAUUAAAGUUUGUCAUGAUUCAGAUCCUUGUCCUUUCAUUCAACCAAAAUGUCCAUACUCAUCUGUCGGCAAAAAAACUACAACUACAACUUCUACUACGCUCGCUACAACGACUACCACAAAGUUAAAUAUGACUCUGCCCGCAUCAACAGCAAAAA